CCUACGUGGAGCAGCAGUGGGGAAUAUUGCACAAUGGGGGAAACCCUGAUGCAGCAACGCCGCGUGAAGGAAGACGGUUUUCGGAUUGUAAACUUCUUUUCUUAGUGAAGAAAAAUGACGUUAGCUAAGGAGCAAGCCACGGCUAACUACGUGCCAGCAGCCGCGGGAAUACGGAGGUGGCAAGCGUUGUCCGGAAUUACUGGGUGUAAAGGGAGCGCAGGCGGGAAGCCAAGUCAGCUGUGAAAACUACGGGCUUAACUUGUAGACUGCAGUUGAACCUGGUUUUCUUGAGUGAAGUAGAGGUAGGCGGAAUUCCGGGUGUAGCGGUGAAAUGCGUAGAUAUUAGGAGGAACACCGGUGGCGAAGGCGGCCAACUGGGCUUUAACUGACGCUGAGGCUCGAAAGUGUGGGGAGCAAACAGGAUUAGAUACCCGGGUAGUC
rnacentral:rRNA from 1 species